rnacentral:misc_RNA from 1 species
AACGCACAUUGCGCCCCUCGGUAUCCCGGGGGGCAUGCCUGUUCGAGCGUCAUUUCUACCACUCAAGCCUGGCUUGGUAUUGGGCAACGUAAUUUUUUAGGUAAAAUCACGCGCCUUAAAUAGAGACGGCAGCAAACACUAGUUCUAAGCGUAGCAGUAAAACAUUUCGCUUUAAGAGCCUAGGAGUAUUGUUCACCGAAUAGCUAUUACUAUAGUUUGACCUCGGAUCAGGCAGGGAUACCCGCUGAACUUAA